ACCCGUCCCUCCGCUCACGCGAGAUGAGAGUCUCUGACGUCAGGACUCAGGAGAGUAGACUCUAGGCGCACAGGCGCAGCAAAAGCCCGCCAGAGCAGAUUUAAAAGAGGCAGAGCCCCGCCCCCCAGCAGUGUGUGCCUGUGCCAGCACAGAUUAGAGGGCUCAGGGCGCGAUUCUCCGAGGAAGAAAGAAGAGGACCGACCGACCGACCAACCGACCGACAGACAGACACCAAGGGCGAGCGCUGGGCAUUGCAGCAGAAGUACUGCACUCCAGGACCAUCUUCUCCUGCCUCACUGCCUGCUGGACUGGUCUAUAGACUGUGAGAACAAAUUGGUUCCUUUCUACUUGAUGCCUCCUCGUUGGACCUGGCUGGUUAAUUUUGAUGUUUCAUUUGGAUUUCUGUUCUGGUUGAGAAGCACAACUCGUGCUUAUUCACAAUCAAAUUUUGUGAGAACAAAUUGGUUCCUUUCUACUUGAUGCCUCCUCGUUGGACCUGGCUGGUUAAUUUUGAUGUUUCAUUUGGAUUUCUGUUCUGGUUAAGAAGCACAACUCGUGCUUAUUCACAAUCAAAUUUUGUGAGAACAAAUUGGUUCCUUUCUACUUGAUGCCUCCUCGUUGGACCUGGCUGGUUAAUUUUGAUGUUUCAUUUGGAUUUCUGUUCUGGUUAAGAAGCAUGACUCGUUCCUUUUCACAUUCAAAUUUUGUGAGAACAAAUUGGUUCCUUUCUACUUGAUGCCUCCUCGUUGGACCUGGCUGGUUAAUUUUGAUGUUUUAUUUGGAUUUCUGUUCUUGUUAAGAAGCACAACUCGUACUUAUUCACAAUCAAAUUUCAGUGAUUUACCAAGAUAUGGGUCAAGAAGCUUUAUGCCUUAUGUGGAGAAUCUUUGUUCUGGAACGCUUUUAACAUUUUUUUCUAUAUUUUAUAUGGUAACAUUAAAAAAUUAAAACCCCUA